rnacentral:rRNA from 1 species
UACGUAGGGGCGAGCGUUGUCCGGAAUCAUUGGGCGUAAAGCGCGUGUAGGCGGUCCGAGUCAGUCGGCUGUGAAAGUCCCAGGGCUCAACCCUGGGAUGCCGGUCGAUACUGUCGGGCUAGAGUGCGGGAAGAGGCGAGUGGAAUUCCUGGUGUAGCGGUGAAAAUGCGCAGAUAUCAGGAGGAACACCAAUUGCGAAGCAGCUCGCUGGGACGUAACUGACGCUGAGACGCGAAGCGUGGGGAGCAAACAGG